rnacentral:rRNA from 1 species
CCCUUUGGGGUGUGACUGCGUACCUUUUGUAUAAUGGGUCAGCGACUUAUAUUCUGUAGCAAGGUUAACCGAAUAGGGGAGCCGGAGGGAAACCGAGUCUUAAUUGGGCGUUAAGUUGCAGGGUAUAGACCCGAAACCCGGUGAUCUAGCCAUGGGCAGGUUGAAGGUUGGGUAACACUAACUGGAGGACCGAACCGACUAAUGUUGAAAAAUUAGCGGAUGACCUGUGGCUGGGGGUGAAAGGCCAAUCAAACCGGGAGAUAGCUGGUUCUCCCCGAAAGCUAUUUAGGUAGCGCCUCGUGAAUUCAUCUCCGGGGGUAGAGCACUGUUUCGGCUAGGGGGCCAUCCCGGCUUACCAACCCGAUGCAAACUGCGAAUACCGGAGAAUGUUAUCACGGGAGACACACGGCGGGUGCUAACGUCCGUCGUGAAGAGGGAAACAACCCAGACCGCCAGCUAAGGUCCCAAAGUCAUGGUUAAGUGGGAAACGAUGUGGGAAGGCCCAGACAGCCAGGAUGUUGGCUUAGAAGCAGCCAUCAUUUAAAGAAAGCGUAAUAGCUCACUGGUCGAGUCGGCCUGCGCGGAAGAUGUAACGGGGCUAAACCAUGCACCGAAGCUGCGGCAGCGACGCUGAUGCGUUGUUGGGUAGGGGAGCGUUCUGUAAGCCUGUGAAGGUGGCCUGUGAGGGUUGCUGGAGGUAUCAGAAGUGCGAAUGCUGACAUAAGUAACGAUAAAGCGGGUGAAAAGCCCGCUCGCCGGAAGACCAAGGGUUCCUGUCCAACGUUAAUCGGGGCAGGGUGAGUCGACCCCUAAGGCGAGGCCGAAAGGCGUAGUCGAUGGGAAACGGGUUAAUAUUCCCGUACUUGGUGUUACUGCGAAGGGGGGACGGAGAAGGCUAUGUUGGCCGGGCGACGGUUGUCCCGGUUUAAGCGUGUAGGUGUGUGUUCCAGGUAAAUCCGGUUCACUUUAACACUGAGGCGUGAUGACGAGGCACUACGGUGCUGAAGCAACAAAUGCCCUGCUUCCAGGAAAAGCCUCUAAGCAUCAGGUAACAUCAAAUCGUACCCCAAACCGACACAGGUGGUCAGGUAGAGAAUACCAAGGCGCUUGAGAGAACUCGGGUGAAGGAACUAGGCAAAAUGGUGCCGUAACUUCGGGAGAAGGCACGCUGACACGUAGGUGAAGUGAUUUACUCAUGGAGCUGAAGUCAGUCGAAGAUACCAGCUGGCUGCAACUGUUUAUUAAAAACACAGCACUGUGCAAACACGAAAGUGGACGUAUACGGUGUGACGCCUGCCCGGUGCCGGAAGGUUAAUUGAUGGGGUCAGCGCAAGCGAAGCUCCUGAUCGAAGCCCCGGUAAACGGCGGCCGUAACUAUAACGGUCCUAAGGUAGCGAAAUUCCUUGUCGGGUAAGUUCCGACCUGCACGAAUGGCGUAAUGAUGGCCAGGCUGUCUCCACCCGAGACUCAGUGAAAUUGAACUCGCUGUGAAGAUGCAGUGUACCCGCGGCAAGACGGAAAGACCCCGUGAACCUUUACUAUAGCUUGACACUGAACAUUGAGCCUUGAUGUGUAG